UUGAAUAAAUCAAUAAUCAGGGUGAUGUGUGACGUAACUCGACAGUCAUCAGCGCGAAACAUUUUGACAGACCUAAUCAGAAUAUGAAUCCACAACUGCACGUUUUUUUUCUUAGAGGAGCAUUGAUAUUGAUAUUAAUUGAGCAGUUAUUUAAUGACGAGUGUGUGAAGAGAAAUUCCAAGUGGUUUUUGUUGGUGAAUAUGGGCAUGGCUAGACUUUCGUUUUUCACGCGUGCAAGGACUCGAGUCUCAUGGACAUUGAAGGCACUUAUUUCACCUGAGACACGGACAGUAGACGUUCACAGAGUGAAUGUGGAGGUAGGCCUAGAAGUAAUAGACUGUGUGGGCUGGGUUUCUGUGAACUGGCAUAAUGCACCGGAUGACAUAGGUGUAUGAGGAAUUUGUGACUGUUGUUGAUUGUGCAGUAAUUGUUCAAGGAAUGUGUAUUUUUGUGUCCGGUCACAUACACCUGGAGAUUAUCAGGGACAUUACAAUCUGUCAUUUUUUGUACAAGAGCUCUGCAGACGCUAGUGUUCGUCAAUCGAGCUUAGAAAUCUACCAGCCUUAACUGAAAAGAAACUGAACCAAACUUCAUACAAAAUUUAUUCUCUUGAAUUCAAAGAGUGAAAAUAAAUAUGAUGCCAUCAUCAGAAUUAGAGCAAGGAAAAGAUUUUGUGUUGAUGUCUUCAGAGUGAGAAUGCAGGAGAGGAAUGCAGUCAUCAGACAUAGGAGGUCCUAAACAGCUGUAAUUAGCUGGUGGAGCAUCCGAUUACAUUAAGCCGGGGACUAGUUUUGAAUUCCAGUUGGGCCCAUUGGAUUUUUUCCCUUCCUGUCUCAUGUUAUUAUGAAUCAAGUCAUAAAUAUGACAACCUCUAUGCAAAACUAG